UGACAUACGGCUGUCCUUCAAGGGAGCAAGAGGCUGGUAUGAGGAGUUGUGCACCGUGGGAGAAGAAACUUCACACUUCUGCAGCUGAAUGACCUGCAGGGGGCAAGAGGUCAAGAGGUCCACUAAUGACAGUCAAAUAAACGUCUGAUGGUGUGGGAGAGUAAAUCGAAAUGACCGGCAUGCUGAGGAGAACUGUUGGUUUAGACCAGGGUGUGCCGACAAGGAAGAGAAAGAGACAGACACUAAAGUGAGUCGCAGGGCUGAGCUGAAGUCUGGGAGACUGGGAGGAGACAGACAGACGGACAGAGAGAGUCACACACGCACAUGGGCGGGCUGUUGUCUGACUGUCUGAAGCGUGCAAAUCCAUGCAAACACAUGCAAAUAUUUUGCAAAUACAUAUUUAUUGCGAAAUGUAAUAGUUACCCUCAGGCUAAACAGUGGGGUGCUUCACUAAAGAACAGUUGUGCUAUGGGGUUGCUUUUUUGGUUUAUAAAACUCGCAUUAAAAUGAAAAAAUUAGCCAUGCUUUACCUUUACAUGUCAACCUUUUUUUUCAGUAUACAAAACAUCACCUCCACCACAUUUCAAAAAAUGUUUUUUUUUGUUUAAAUACCAGAAGCAUGCAUGUAGUUAGUGUUGCAUUAAAAAAUGGUUCUCAAACUGGGGGGCCGCCCUUGGGGGUCACAAAAUAAGUAACACAAUUCAUCAUAAAUUCUGUGUAAUUAAACCUCAGAAAAAUAAGGCUACUUACCAACAGCACUACAUUGUAUCAUUUUGUAUGUUUUGUUUUAUUCAAAUUCUAAGUUUGAGUUCGUUUUAUGUCAUGAAUUUUCUUUGUUGGGGAUGGGGCAUG